AACCGCGGUUAGACGAGUUGACCCAAGCUGAUAGAAUGCGGCGUAAAGUGUGGUCUGGGUUAAACAAAACUAAAAUUGAAGACCUCCCAGACUGUUAUACGUUUAUGGAGUCAUGAAACCCAACUACGAAAGUGAUUUUAUUUUUCCACUGACCACGAAAGCUGAGAAA
rnacentral:rRNA from 1 species